rnacentral:rRNA from 1 species
AGAGUUUGAUCCUGGCUCAGGAUGAACGCUAAGGCUUAACACGUGCAAGUCGCACGGGACAUGUUCAGCAAUGGAGAUGUCUAGUGGCGAAAGGGUGAGGAACACGUGAGCAACCUGCCUUCGGGUUCGGGAUAGCCCCGGGAAACUGGGUGUAAGACCGGAUGUGAUUACCGACUCAUGGUCGGUGUAUCAGCAGCAAUGCGCCGGAAGAUGGGCUCGCGUCCGAUUAGCUAGUUGGUGAGGUAACGGCCCACCAAGGCGACGAUCGGUAGCUGGUCUGAGAGGAUGGUCAGCCACACUGGGACUGAGACACUGCCCAGACUCCUACGGGAGGCUGCAGUCGAGAAUCUUCCGCAAUGGGCGAAAGCCUGACGGAGCAAUGCCGCGUGAGGGAUGAAGGCCUUCGGGUCGUAAACCUCUGUCGCCCGGGACGAAUUUUUGACGGUACCGGGAGAGGAAGCUACGGCUAACUACGUGCCAGCAGCCGCGGUAGUACGUAGGUAGCGAGCGUUAUUCGGAUUUACUGGGCGUAAAGGGUCCGCAGGGGGCCCGCCAAGUCUGAUGUGAAAGCCUACGGCUCAACCGUGGAAGGGCAUCGGAUACUGGCGGGCUAGAGUGCACGAGGGGUAGACGGAAUUCCAGGUGUAGCGGUGGAAUGCGUAGAUAUCUGGAAGAACACCGAUGGCGAAAGCGGUCUACUGGCGUGUUACUGACCCUCAGGGACGAAAGUGUGGGAGCAAACAGGAUUAGAUACCCUGGUAGUCCACACUGUAAACGGUGCGCAUUCGUUGCAGGAAGAACUUCGGUCCUUUCUGUGACUUAGCUAACGCGAUAAAUGCGCCGCCUGGGAACUACGGUCGCAAGACUAAAACUCAAAGGAAUUGACGGGGGCCCGCACAAGCGGUGGAGCAUGUGGCUUAAUUUCGAGGCAACGCGAAGAA